GACGAACGCUGGCGGCGUGCUUAACACAUGCAAGUCGAACGAAGAGCGAUGGAAGCUUGCUUCUAUCAAUCUUAGUGGCGAACGGGUGAGUAACGCGUAAUCAACCUGCCCUUCAGAGGGGGACAACAGUUGGAAACGACUGCUAAUACCGCAUACGAUCUAAUCUCGGCAUCGAGGAUAGAUGAAAGGUGGCCUCUACAUGUAAGCUAUCACUGAAGGAGGGGAUUGCGUCUGAUUAGCUAGUUGGAGGGGUAACGGCCCACCAAGGCGAUGAUCAGUAGCCGGUCUGAGGGGAUGAACGGCCACAUUGGGACUGAGACACGGCCCAGACCCCUACGGGAGGCAGCAGUGGGGAAUCUUCCGCAAUGGACGAAAGUCUGACGGAGCAACGCCGCGUGAGUGAUGACGGCCUUCGGGUUGUAAAGCUCUGUUAAUCGGGACGAAAGGCCUUCUUGCGAAUAGUGAGAAGGAUUGACGGUACCGGAAUAGAAAGCCACGGCUAACUACGUG
rnacentral:rRNA from 1 species